rnacentral:rRNA from 1 species
GGGUCAGUAGGUUGGUCGUGCCACCGGUACGUACUGGUCUCACUGAUUCCUCCUUCCUGAAGAACCGUAAUGCCAUUAAUUUGGCGUUGCGGGGAAACAGGACUGUUACUUUGAAAAAAUUAGAGUGUUUAAAGCAAACAAACGCUUGAAUACAUUAGCAUGGAAUAAUGAAAUAGGACGAUCGAUCCUAUUUUGUUGGUUUCUAGGAUUGAUGUA